AACGAACGCUGGCGGCAUGCCUAACACAUGCAAGUCGAACGAAGCCUUCGGGCUUAGUGGCGGACGGGUGAGUAACACGUGGGAACGUACCUUUUGGUUCGGAACAACUCAGGGAAACUUGAGCUAAUACCGGAUGAGCCCUUAGGGGGAAAGAUUUAUCGCCGAAAGAGCGGCCCGCGUUAGAUUAGCUAGUUGGUGAGGUAAAGGCUCACCAAGGCUACGAUCUAUAGCUGGUCUGAGAGGAUGAUCAGCCACACUGGGACUGAGACACGGCCCAGACUCCUACGGGAGGCAGCAGUGGGGAAUCUUGCGCAAUGGGCGAAAGCCUGACGCAGCCAUGCCGCGUGAAUGAUGAAGGUCUUAGGAUUGUAAAAUUCUUUUACCAGGGACGAUAAUGACGGUACCUGGAGAAAAAGCCCCGGCUAACUUCGUGCCAGCCGCCGCGGUAACAC
rnacentral:rRNA from 1 species